UGCAGUCGAGGGGUAACAGAGAGAAGCUUGCUUCUUUGCUGACGACCGGCGCACGGGUGCGUAACGCGUAUACAAUCUACCUUUUGCUGAGGGAUAGCCCAGAGAAAUUUGGAUUAAUACCUCAUAGUAUAUAUGAAUCACAUGGUUUAUAUAUUAAAGGUUACGGCAGAAGAUGAGUAUGCGUUCUAUUAGCUAGAUGGUGUGGUAACGGCACACCAUGGCAACGAUAGAUAGGGGCCCUGAGAGGGGGAUCCCCCACACUGGUACUGAGACACGGACCAGACUCCUACGGGAGGCAGCAGUGAGGAAUAUUGGACAAUGGGCGAGAGCCUGAUCCAGCCAUGCCGCGUGCAGGAAGACUGCCCUAUGGGUUGUAAACUGCUUUUAUACAGGAAGAAACACUCCCUCGUGAGGGAGCUUGACGGUACUGUAAGAAUAAGGAUCGGCUAACUCCGUGCCAGCAGCCGCGGUAAUACGGAGGAUCCAAGCGUUAUCCGGAAUCAUUGGGUUUAAAGGGUCCGUAGGUGGAUAAUUAAGUCAGAGGUGAAAGUCUGCAGCUCAACUGUAGAAUUGCCUUUGAUACUGGUUAUCUUGAAUUAUUAUGAAGUAGUUAGAAUAUGUAGUGUAGCGGUGAAAUGCAUAGAUAUUACAUAGAAUACCAAUUGCGAAGGCAGAUUACUAAUAAUAUAUUGACACUGAUGGACGAAAGCGUGGGGAGCGAACAGGAUUAGAUACCCUGGUAGUCCACGCCGUAAACGAUGGAUACUAGCUGUUCGGAUUUGCAGUCGAGUGCAGUCGAGAGUGAU
rnacentral:rRNA from 1 species